rnacentral:rRNA from 1 species
GACCUGCGGAAGGAUCAUUAACGAGUUAGGGUCUCUCUGGCCCGACCUCCCAACCCUUUGUCUACUUGACCAUCGUUGCUUCGGCGAGCCCGUCCUCACGGACCGCCGGAGGGAUCUUUACUGGCCCUCUGGUCCGCGCUCGUCGGUAGCCCAACCUUUAAAAUCUUUAACUAAACGUGCCUUAAUCUAAGUACAAUUAUUAAAUAAAAGCAAAACUUUCAACAACGGAUCUCUUGGUUCUGGCAUCGAUGAAGAACGCAGCGAAAUGCGAUAAGUAAUGCGAAUUGCAGAAUUCCAGUGAGUCAUCGAAUCUUUGAACGCACAUUGCGCCCUUUGGUAUUCCGAAGGGCAUGCCUGUUCGAGCGUCAUUAUCACCCCUCAAGCCCUCGGCUUGGUGUUGGACGGUUUGGUGGAGGCCCCCUCGGGGGUUCCUGCCCCUCCCAAAGACAAUGACGGCGGCCUCGUUGGACCCCCGGUACACUGAGUUCUUCACGGGACACGUAUCGGACACAUGGGUUUACGGGACACGGUCUGCCUCCCCUCAGGGAGAAUCUUUCUAAGGUUGACCUCGGAUCAGGUAGGGAUACCCGCUGAACUUAAGCAUAUCAAUAAGCGGAGGAAAAGAAACCAACAGGGAUUGCCUCAGUAACGGCGAGUGAAGCGGCAACAGCUCAAUUUGAAAUCUGGCCUCUUUGGGG